GACGAACGCUGGCGGCGUGCUUAACACAUGCAAGUCGAACGGUGAAGCGCCUUCCUUUUUGGUGGGUGUGGAUGAGUGGCGAACGGGUGAGUAACACGUGAGUAACCUGCCCCCUUCUUCUGGAUAACCGCAUGAAAGUGUGGCUAAUACGGGAUAUUCUGGGUCUGUCGCAUGAUGGGUCUGGGAAAGAUAUUGUUUCGGUGGGGGAUGGGCUCGCGGCCUAUCAGCUUGUUGGUCGGGUGAUGGCCUACCAAGGCGGUGACGGGUAGCCGGCCUGGGAGGGUGGACGGUCACACUGGGACUGAGACACGGCCCAGACUCCGACGGGAGGCAGCAGUGGGGAAUAGUGCACAAUGGGCGCAAGCCUGAUGCAGCGACGCCGCGUGAGGGAUGGAGGCCUUCGGGUUGUGAACCUCUUUCGCCAGUGAAGCAGGCCUGCCUCGUUUGUGGGUGGGUUGACGGUAGCUGGAUAAGAAGCGCCGGCUAACUACGUG
rnacentral:rRNA from 1 species